rnacentral:lncRNA from 1 species
CUCCUUAUCAGCAUCCCUACCAUGAAUACGAGACUCAUCUACUAAAGAAGUAGUCGGUAGCCUUUCUUCAAUUCCAAAGGACACCCCUCCAACACCCUCCCUCAGAUGAAGGUCAAGUCUCCGUUUGGCAAUUGCAUCUAACUCCCUUGUGAUUUUGUUUAUUUUUUCACCCAUCUUUUUGUUAAAGGACAUAGCUCUAGGAUCCAAAGCACCAAAAGUUGGGAUGAGCUUGCGUACCUUACUUGUGCUGGCUUGAGGGCCUUCUGUCAAACUCCUUUGCUUGGCUUCAGUAUCAAACUCAUCCACCACAUCUUCAAUGUCAUAAGCCAAAGAUUUGAGGUCAUCCAGCCAAACUUUCACUGCUUUCUCCCUGAUCUGCUUGUUCUCAGCAUCAUCCACCACUGCUUCAAUAUGGGUCAACGUCUUCCUCCAUUCUUCGAGUGUUCUGUCGACUUUUUUCCGGCGAGCGUACUCUAACAGGGGGGAGGCGAUCAACUUGUCAAUCAACACACCAAUGAAGGAAGAUCCAACAGCCUCAGCCACAAACAUGCUUUCAGAAAAUGCGAGAGAGCAAAAGAGAUAGGAGAAGGUAAAGUUUCCACAGAUUGUAAGAUCGUUGUUGUGGUGACCCUUUCAACUCACAAGAAGAUAAGGACACAAACACUCACUAUACAAAAUUAAAAAGAAAAAGAAAAUAAGAGAAGGGUCAUCUUAUUCUACAGGGAAGGGCAAUUCUAUCCUACUGUAAAGGGUUUUUGGCUUUGGCUUUGGCUUUGGCUUUGGCUAUGUAUCAUACAGAGCAGUUAAAGAGGGAUUUUGAAGGGCAAUUCAUGCGACUCUUUGACCCCUUGAAAUUAUUUUUGGAAGUGUUGAAAUAUCAAAAUCCCAUAAUUCAGAUAAAUUUAUUUUCAUCUAAAUUUCAUAUGUUUGUAGUUAUUUUAUUGCUUAAAGUGUUUAGGUAUCGGUAUUAGAUCGAAGAUCGAAGAAUGAAAGAAAAUGAUAUCAUGUUAAUUUUAUUUAGUUUUUUAUGUUUUUAUUUUGUUUUUAAAAAUUGCUGACAACAAUUUCUAUUUGUUGUCUAAAAACAGUACUUUUUAUUUACUUUUUUAUUUUUUUAUUUCACUUUGUUUUUAGAGAAUCAAUGAUUAAAUCAUAUUAGGAAUUUUAAAAAUAGUUUCUUAUUUUUAAAAACAAAAAAAUGUUUUGAAAUCACACAACUAGAUAGAUUCUAAUAGUUUUUAAAACUAUUUAAAAAAAUUUUGAUACCCUUUUAAAAGUGAUUUAAAAAAAAUAGAAAAAUGGGAAGCCUAUCUAAUAUUAGGAGGCAACCCUUGGAUUCCUGUAAAUGAAAAUUUAAUUCAACCUAUCUAAAAAAAAAUAACAAUAAGAAUUAAAAGAAGAAAUAAUUUAUGAAAGGAAAUGGAUAAAUAAUGCUAGAUUCAUGAGUGGCAAGAAUAUGAUCCACAUGUCACAAAGAUUAAUAGAAAAGGAAACUACAAAAUCUGAUUAAAAAAAAAAAAAAAAAAAGAGUGUUGAAGAGCUAUUACUAGUAUGUGAAUACUUUUUAAAGUUAAACAUGAGAUAGAACUAUAGUGGUAAAGAAAUAGAGCUAUCACUAGUCCUUCAUCAUGUUUUAAGAGUUGCAACACAUUGAAAAUAGAAUCAUCCCCUCCCCCUCCUGUCCUUUUUUUUUUUUUUUUUUUUUUUUGUUGAAUUAAUUGAUUAAAAGGAUAAAAAGAUUUCAAAUUUAUAAAUUUAACAUUUCUCAGUUUUGAACUUAAAGAGUAAUCCAUUUUAGACAUAGAUACUUUCCAAUAUUUCAAUUAUUUACAUGUGUUUUAAAAGAAAAGAUUAUUUUUACAAGAAAAAAGUGAGACAAUUUUUAUCUAAAAUAAGUAUUUUUCAGGAUGGAAAAAAGUGGAGGGUUGGUUUUACAAAUUAGGGAUGAUUUCAUCCAUUUUAAAUCGAGUAUGCUAGAAUUUUUGCAUCUCUUUAAAUCUUAUACCCACUUGGAAUAAAUAAUCUAGACCUUAAACUUAUGCUUAGUUCCUAAAAAGCACAGGAAAGAAAAAAAAAUUAUUAAGGAAAAUGAUUUUCUUAUAUUUGGAUAUAUUAUGAAAUAUAUAUAUAUAUAUAUAUCAAAUAUAAUUAAAACUGGGUAGUAAUUUAUACGUUUUCAAAUUAUUUAAUCUUUAUAUUGAAAAAUUAAAUUAAGUAAAAUGAGUUUGAAAUAGUAUAUAAAAAUAGUUUAUUGACUUCACAUCUAUUUUUUAUUUUAUUUUCUCCUACUUUUCUUCUCUAUUUUCACUCCUACAUUUUCCUUAAGGCUAUGUUUGGUUUUCUAAAAGUUUGAAAGAAAAUAGAGAGGAAAAGUAAAAAAAAAAAAAUAAAAAAAAAAUUGAAGGAAAAUAAAAAAUAGAUUUAAAGUAAAUAAAUUAUUUUUAUAUACUACUUUAAAUUUUUUAUUUAACUCUUUUAUAUAAAAAUUAAAUAAUUUAAAAAUAUACAAAUAUCUUAAUAAUUUUAAUUAUAUUUAAUUUUUUUUCUUAUUUUUAAUGAGAAAACCAAAUAUGGGAAAAUAAUUUUUUUUAGCAUUUUUUUUUAUUUCCUUAGUACUUUAUGAGAACUAAACAUAGCCUAAAUUUUCUAGCAACCCACAUGACCUAAUAUUUUGAACUUCCAAGUGAAGAUGUUUCUUGUAAAUAUCCUAUAUAUAGGUUUUAGUAAAGAUAUCUAGAUCAACUACUCACUUAAUUACUUUGGAGAUAUUUGGGAUCCCAUUUAGACAGUGUUGGUCAAUGCUCAAGACACUAUUGGAACAUUUUAUGUUUUUAUGUUUAUUUUUCUUAUAUGUGAAAGUGGAUGAUUUUUUAUUUUUUAUUUAUUUUUUGUGAUUGUAAGCAAAAAGCGAUUUGUUCACCAAUAUAAAAUUAUUUUUAGUAUCACCAAUAGUAAAAAAAGAAAGAAAAAAGUUAAAUUGGAAACUUAUAAAAUAAAGUCAAUAACAUUAUUAUUUGAAAAAAUGGUAUACAAUAAUUAAAUAAAUCAAUAAAAAGAAAAUAGAUUUUCUUGGUUUCCUCUCUACACUAGAAUGAGAAUUCUUGAACAUGAAAAUAAAUGAUUAGCAUAUGAUAUUAUAAAUGUUAUUUUGCCAUCUAUUAUUUCUUUUUGAAUUGAGAAACUCAUCAUAGUAAAGACUUUCACACAUAAUUUACUAUCUUUUUAUAUACAAAUUGACAAAUACUACCCAUAGCAAACUCACUCACUAUAAAUGAUUUGUUGAUAGUUUACCAUGACUACAUCAUUCUAGAACUCCAAACGUCCUAACCACACCUUUAAGCACAACAUAGAAACAUAUAUAUUACUAUCAUAUAAUUAUUGUUUUUGGAAGGUAAUCUCUACCAAGGUGCUAGUGGAUCUGCAUUUGCAUUGAUUCUUCCUAGUAACUCAAAGAUUGUUUUUCCAAGGAUUUUGGGAUAUUGAUAGGGCUAGUAGUGUAGAUAGAAAAUCUAUUAGCGUUUUUUGCAUUUAUCUUAGAGGCAACUUGAAACAUUGGAGCUCAAGAAAACAGAAAGUGCUAGCAUAGAAUCUAAAUAUCGAUCCUUGGCCCAAGUUGCAAGAAAGGUUACUUAGCUUUAGUCCUUAUUCAUCAAAGAGUUAGGAAUUAAAAUUGAUGAUACUCUAAAAAUGUGGUGUGAUAAUUCUAGAGUAGGUUUCUUAACUUCAAAUCUAGUGUUCCAUGUGAGAACUGAGAAUAUCGAAAUUGAUGUCUAUCUCAUACAACUAUAAAAGAGAAAUUCAUGGCAAAGGAACUAAACAUGCAAUACAUUCCAAUGGAGAAACAAAUAGCAAACAAACUAACCAAACCUUUCUUAGCUACAUGUUUUGAAAUACUUAAGGACAAGCUUACUAUGGUACAAUCCAUUUGGAAAUCAAGUAAAAAAGAUUUUUCAAUUCUAGUUUAACAAAACAAAAUAAAUCCAUAGAUACUCACCUUAUGCCAUUGUGAGAAAGAUAACUUUACAUAGAUUAUUUAUGAAAUUGCAUCACUUUAAGCAACACCUUGUCACUUUGUAUUGGUAUUGACACCUUGUAUUUACCUCUCCUUAUUAUUUAUAAUGCUUGCAAAAAUGAUGAGAAUCUUCACAAACUUAAAACUUUAAGCAAGAGCCCUUUUAUAUAAUUUCAAGUGACCUUACCCAUCAAGAGUCACACAUGAUUACUUCCUACUAGAUUAUAUUAAUCUACCUCUUCUAAUCCUAUGUAAUAUGGAAUUUUAGUGCACAAUAAUUUCGACAUUCUCACACAUUGGGCAAAUAACCACAUAGGGACUUGAAACUUUUAUGGAUUUACUAAAUGGCCAUAUAAAAAUAAUGCUAUCAGUACAUGCUAAUCUAACAAAGUUUUCAAUAUGGAUCAUGAUGGUAACAUAUCAUUAAUUUUAUCAGAUAUAAUUCAUUCUAUGCAUCACACAAUUGGUUACUCAAUUUAGAGAACCUAAAUGAGGAAGUAAUAACCUAUAAACAUCUAAUAAAUGGUCUUGACUUUUAUUUAAAAUUUUUGACAAUUCUAUUAAUCAUUAUUCCAAAAAAUGUACACGAGGGAGCAUGAAAUUUUAUUAUUGUAUGUUUAAAACAAUUCUACGACAUCCGUAAAACCCAUAGAGUAAAUAUGUUCCUUAAACUUCUUAGGCACCAAAGCUUUUGUAAAAGGAUUUAUCAUAUUGUGGACCCCGCAUUUUCGGCUCAUGCGCUUCCCACUCGAUGGUGAGCUCGAUUUUUACUUGAAAAAUUGAUUUGUUGAUUAAAAAUGACUUGGAGUCGUCACUUAUUUUUGUUUUAUAUUUAAAAGGGUAAACAAAAUAAGAAAGAAAACCCUAAGUGUGACUCCUUGUUUUGGAAAAGGUGGUCUGUGAAAAACCAGAUCGGGCUCGGGGGUCAAGUUACUUAUCGGGAAGGUACGGUACGGACCGUAGCACCCCUCUAAGUCCCUAAAGUCAGGUCUCUACUGUUAGGAUGAAGUCGUCGUGGCAAUCAAUAAGUAAGUCAAUGGAUGCCUAAGUCAAAUCAUGCACAUAUGAAAAUCGGAACAUGCAUAGAGAAUGAUCAAAACGAAAUGGUAUGCAUACCUGGGCCACGAGUCACAAUGCGCUAUCAAGAAACGAGAUUAGUACACAAUUAACGAAUACAAAUUAUAGCUUAUGCAUAUCGGAGUGCAAAAUGAAGAUCAAGCAAAAUCUAUUAAGCACAACAGUUGACAGUCAAUAGGGAUCAAACAUAGGCCCCCCCCCUACCAAAGCCCGAUUUAUUGCCUACGAACUAAUCUCACAAAUCCCGUGUUUUAGAAUUAUGAAGGAAUCAUUAUUGCUUAUGUAAAAUCAAGAAGACCAAAAGAUUAUUUAGGAACUGAAAUAGGAUUAAAACUAUUUGAGUGAAAAUUGGAUUAUUGGAGUUUAUUUGAAAAUUGGAGUACUUGGAAUUAAAUUUAAAAGAUUAGAGCUCCGGUAAUUAAAUUGAAAUUUGUUAAAGAAAAUGAGAAACGAACUUUAAGAAAUUGAACUGCAAGACCAUAGACUUUUGAAAGUUGAAUUUGUAAUAAUAAUAAUAAUAAGAUUUUGAAAGUUUGAAUUAAUGAUAGUAAUAAUAAUAAUAAUAACAAUAAGAUUUUGAAAGUUUGAAUUAAUAGUAAUAAUAAUAAGGUUUUGAAAGUGUGAAUUAAUAAUAAUAAUAAUAAUAAGAUUUUGAGAGUUUGAAUUAAUGAUAAUAAUAAUAAUAAUAGGAUUUUGAAAGUUUGAAUUAAUAAUAAUAAUAAUAAUAAGGUUUUGAAAGUUUGAAUUAAUAAUAAUAAUAAUAAUAAGAGUUUGAAAGUUUGAAUUAAUAAUAAUAAUAAUAAUAUUAUUAUUAAUAAAAUUUCGAGAGUUCUAAUUAAUGAUAAUAAUAAUAAUAAUAAUAAGAUUUCAAAAGUUUGAAUUAAUAAUAAUAAUAAUAAUAAUAAUAAUAAUAAUAAUAAUAAUAAGGUUUUGAAAGUGUGAAUUAAUAAUAAUAAUAAUAAUAAUAAUAAUAAGAUUUCGAAAGUUUGAAUUAAUAAUAAUAAUAAUAGGAUUUUGAAAGUUUGAAUUAAUAAUAAUAAUAAUAAUAAGGUUUUGAAAGUUUGAAUUAAUAAUAAUAAUAAUAAUAAUAAUAAUAAGAUUUUGAGAGUUUGAAUCAAUAAUAAUAAUAAUAAUAAUAUUAAUAAGAUUUCGAGAGUUCUAAUUAAUGAUAAUAAUAAUAAUAAUAAGAUUUCGAAAGUUUGAAUUAAUAAUAAUAAUAAUAAUAAUAAGGUUUUGAAAGUGUGAAUUAAUAAUAAUAAUAAUAAUAAUAACAAUAAUAAGAUUUGGAAAAUUGAAUUAAUAAUAAUAAUGACUAUGGUAAUAAUAAUAAUAAUAGUAAUAAUAAUAAUAAUAAUAAUAAUAGUUAAUAAUAAUAAUAAUAAUAAUAAUAGUGAUAAUAUCAUAAACCCAAGUCCAUAAGCCCAAACCCACGUCCAACAUUAAAAAAAAACUCAAUCCAUAAGCCCAAGCCCACGUCCAAUCAUUAAAAAGAGCUCUGGGCUCCAUCUCCACCCAGCCCAAACUAGCAUAAUAAUAAUAAUAAUGGGGCUUUGGGCUCCAUCUUCAGCAUAGGCUUGGGCUUGGGCUCCAAAUUCAAACUCAAGCCCAAAGCCCAAACCAAACACAAAAUUGGGCCUAGCCUUAACCCAAGCCCAAAAACCAAAACUUCAUCUUCUUCCUAGCUUCCCCCCCCCCCCACGUCCGGCUGCUACACCUUUGCCACCUCCCCGCGGCGGCAGCGGCGACGGUGCCCGAGGUCAUGGAUUCUCCAGGCUUGGUGGACAGCUCCUGGGCCUCGGUGGCGCGAGAACAACUCCUGGAGGAUCUCGCCCUUCCAGGCGAAGACGGCGGCGCUGUCGCGGGCUAUGGCAGCGGCGGCGUGGUCCUGGAGCAAUAGUGCGACGCAUUGCAUUGGGAAAUCAGUGUCACAGAAAGCAAUAGUUGGAGUGUUUCCUAGUGCAGCUUCCUUAAUAGGCUGGUGAUGGAGAGUGAUCUUGAUGGAGGGGUUGGGAAAAGGUUGGAGAGAUGGGUGAGCGUGAAGGUUAGAAAAAAGGGAUAUGGGCAGUUGAUAAAUGGGUGUGAAAGUCUAGAGAGAAAUGGGUGAUUGAAUGAUGGGUAUGAAGGUGUGGUUCAAAGGUGACGAAAUGGAGUGGGCUGGUGGGUAUUAAAGGAAAUGGCAAUGAGAUCAGCAGCAACAGGGCAUAAAAGAAAGGUCCGAAAAUCAACAACAUACAGCAUAUAAUCCAUAUUUUCCCAACCCAAAUCGACGAGCAACGUGGAGCAAACCAAAUAGGAAAUAAAUGAGAAAUAUAUCAAUCAAAAUAAGCAAGGAAUUUACCUCAAACUCACCUGCAACCACUCUCUUUUUCUCCGUUAUCUCCUUGUAAUCAGACUGUCACUCCCAGAAGAACGGGCUCCUCAAGCAACUGAAUAAACUCCCUUUGUGACUCUCAGAAGAAGAAUCCCAUCCAAAGCUGCCCCUCCUUCCCUUCCUUCAAGCUUUUUUCUCUCUUUUGUUUGUGUCUUCCUCAGCAAGCCAUCCUGCCUGUUGCUACACGUCCCAUCUGGUGACUACCCCCCAUCCUCUCUAGCUGCCCGAGAGCAGCCCACUUGAGAAACAACAAAAAAUAAUAAUAAUAAAAAGCUCAAGCUCCUGGGGGUCUACACAUAUCUAUACCAAUGUGUUUGAUGGACAUCUUUUGAAACUAGACUCUUUCUCUAACCACAUGGUGCUUCAACUCAAUAUGUUUUGACUUAGUAGAGAAUUUUCUUGUAGAAAAGAAAACUAUUGUAGAAUUAUCACAAGAUAUAUUAAUUGGCUUAGAGAUUCCAUAAAUUUGAGUCCUAAAGUUGAGUUUCAUAGCUAAAUAACUAGUGAGGUGGCUUAAUGGCUUGCAAUAAAUUCAAUUGCCAUUGUGGAAGAAGCAUUGAUAGUAUUGGUUUUAACUUUUUUCUAUUAUGCAAUUUAAUUAGAAAAUGAAAAAUUGAUUGAUUAGAUUAUAUACAAAUAUGCUAGACUUGUCAAUGAAACCUCUUAUUUCCAAAUCAAAAGAAUUUCAUCAUUGGAAAUUAAAAGAAAUACAAAGGCUAGCAUGGUAGUUAGUUUAUCUCCAUAGGGACUUAUAUCAAGAGAACAAAUUAUUAAUGAUAAUCAUAUGAGCUUAAACUAGAUCAUUUUUACAAAAGAAUAAAGAGUGAAAGAAUUAAGAUAACAUGAAAACAAAUUGAUCAAUCAUAACAUCUGCACAUGGAAUAAUAAUAUUAUACAUAAAUCUAUUUGAUAUAAAACAUUGAUAUGUAGAAAAGUCUUAUCAUGAAACGACUUAUCAUUCUUAAUGCACUUAAGAUAGGAUUUCCUAUUUCUUAGUUUAAAUUUGUAAUUAUCUUUUAGAAAAUUAAGAAUCUCACACUUCUAUGAUCAAAUCCAUUCCUAUUCCGAUUCCUAAAACCUCUUUUAAUAGAAAUAGUAGAAAACAAUAGAUGAAUGCAAGGCAUCACAUCCAAUAGAUUCUUCAGCAUGGAAUGAAUAAGUUUUACAAUAAAAAAUAAGAAGGAUUCAAGUUUAAGAUAAAAAAAUAAAAUUAUAAAAAAAAAUUGCAAUUAAAAACAUUACAAAGAAAUGCAUCCUUUCAUUCUUCAAUGCUGCAUCUUGAAAGCUUCUCCAAAGAUCAAUAGGUUUUUAACUCUCCAAAGCAAGACUCACAAACGAAGAAAAUCUCUUAAGGAAAUCAUAAACGAACUCUCUAAUAUCUAAAACUUUAUCUCUCUCCAUGUAACUUCUCUAACUCCCUUCAAAUGACUAGAUAGCAAGCUAUUUAUAAGCAAUUGAUUAGUCUCUAGUCCAAUCACAACUUGCCACGUACUCAAUAUUAAUCAUAAGAAAAUCUAACAACUAAAUCUUCAAUUUUGAUCCCUAUGAUUACAGUUCAUGAAUGGGUAUUGAUACUUCCUAAAAAAAUCUAUACUAACUACGAUAUAAAAUAUACAUUCUCUUCUAGUUAUCAAUAUUCAAUUGGAAAAAAUGAUACAUUAUGAUGCACUGCAAUAAAAGAACCCUGAUGUUAUCAUGUAUUGAAAUUGAUCAUAUCAUAUAUCAAAAUUAAUCAUCUAGUCUUCUAGUGAGUUUCUUAAUUGAAGUCAAUACCAGGUGAUAGCGUGUGAUAUACAAUAGUUCUCAUAUCAAAAUAUGAUUUCGCAUAUCAAAUUAUUGUUCUCGAGAUUCUAGUGAGUUUGUUGCUUUGUCGAGCUUCUCUUCGAUACCAACCAAUACGAAGAAACACCAACCUACUUGUAUCCUAGUAAAUUGAAAUAUGAAUAUGAUAGAAUCAUUGUUCAAAAACUAUGAAUAUAGUCUUGGUAUAGAAGUAUCUAAACUAAUACCAUUGAGAAAUUGAAAUUUGCCUUGCUUCAUCAAAUCAAUACAUCCUUAUAUAUUGCAUUCCAUAUAAAAAAGUCUUUCUAGUUUUAUCGCCAAAUAUCAAAAUGUGCUCUUAGUAUCAAACUGAUGAUCAAUCUCUAAAUUUUUCCUCUUCAACCAUUGGUUAUUAAGCCUUAAUCUUGUUUUCCAUCUUUUAGAUUAAUGUGAAAGUUAUACAACACUUGCAUAAAAUUUUACCAACUUACAACAUGAAUUUCAAAAGAGAUAAUUAGCACAAUUGCUAAUUAUAGGUUAAAGUAGUCAAAUUUUAUGCAAAUAUUCUAAAAAGAUCCCUAGUUAAGUUUUUCAAAUUAUGCAUUUUACACACAAAUACAAUAUCUUAAUGUUUUUCCUUUGAUAUAUAUAGUUAUAGACCUUAAAAUUGUUCCUAGGUCCCUUUUUGUUAAGAAUUUCGAUCCCACCCGCUUUCAUUUUUAUUUUUAAGCCCAUUCCAUUUGAGUUUUCAGCCUACUUUUAGGGCCCAUGUUCAUAUCCAUUAAGAAAAUUAAAUUCUAGCAUUUCAUUUUUUAGUCACAUCCCCACUAUCCGUUAAAAACAAAAAUGCUAAAAGGGCAUUUUACUCUUCAUUUUCGUAUUUGCACUAUACAACCAACCCUUCAUUCUUUUCCUCGUUUUUUUUUUUUUUCCUUUUUUUUUCCCUUCAUUUCUUUCCUUUAUUUUCCUCCCUUUCUCCCUUCCAUAGCUGGUGCCACCUCCAUUUCCAGCAGCAUCCUCUGCCACCUGUCCCUGUCAUCUACCUCGACAAUAUUGCAUUGUUGCUACAACCUAGACCCAUUGUUAGUCAUGCCACAUCUCUCUCUCUCUCUCUCUCUCUCUCUCUCUCUCUCUUUCCCUUCCUGUCUUCUUUUCUUUCCCCUCUUACCAACUCACUAGUUGUUGCCAUUCCUCUGUCUCCAGACAAUAGUCAUGGGUUGCCCGUAAUACCACCUUCCCCACACACCACCAUUAGUCACGCCACACCAUAACCACCUAUGACACCGUGGCCACACCCUAAGCUCCAUGUAAACCCUCAUGCCAUCACCUCUAUCUCCGUCCACAAUGUCGUCACUCCUCUCACUACCACUGCCCAUGGUUGCCACUCUAUCUCCUCACCAUUGAUCACCAUCUUUUUCCAUUGUGCCACCCAUAUCUGACGUAGCAUCAUUGCACUGCCUCUUUACUCUCUCAUUUGGCUAUCUUUGUUAGUUUUUUUUCGAUAAUGUGUGACCAUAUAUAAUUAUAUUUAUAUGAAUAUUAUUUAAGGGUAUUAAUUGAUAGGUAGGUAAAUCAAUUAAUUGGGCAUCCAAGAGUCUUAUGUAUGGAAGACUCAAACUACAAAUGGGGAGUUAGAAAAUUUACUUUAUAUGAAUGUGGUGUUACAACUUUUGUAACCCCAUCAUUAUGAAAUUUAUUUUCUACAUUAUAUUUGAGUAAUGGAGGAAAAUGGAAAAAUAUCCUAUGCAAUUAUAUAGAUGCAUUCAAGUUCGUAACCCACCAUUACCCAUUAAUUUGUACAUAAUGGGUGUAAAUAAUGAGUACAACUCCCAUAUAGUCUUUGAUGGGAAGACUAAGAGAUGUACAACUUUUAUAAAUUGAGGUCCCAAGCCACAUUCUCAUUCUUAUGUCAUUUUUGUUGUUUAUUUUUAACAACUUACAUCACACAAGUGACCCAUCCAUUAUAUGAGAGUAGUGAGUUGAAGACCUUGACAAUUCAAUUCACAAGGUGACUCAAUCUCACUUCAAAAGUGUUAUUGGUAUUAUGGAUUAAGGUAAGAAUAUGAUCAUUAUUUUAGCACUUAUAUUUAUUUUGUUUUAUGCAUCCAAAAUUGUUUUUUAAAAUAAUUAUUUCCGCAUAAAGUUUAUAAAAGUUUGGUUAACAAUCUUUUCCUCAUUUUCGGCUGUUCAAGAGACAUGGGUAAGUCUCAUUGAUUCCUACAACGCAUGUUUGUGGGCUUUGUUUCUUUGGGCUUGAUUAAUUUGAUCUAUAAGUGAGAUAUUGGUUUUAUUCCAUCUGGGCCUUGGGCCAGAUUUUUAUAAUUUGGGUUUAUUGGGCUUUAGUUUAUUAUAUUUUCAUUUGGGCUUUGAUUUUGUUAGAUGUUCUUUUGGGCUUGCAUUUUGUUUUGGGCUCCAACCUAAUUGAAUUUAUUUGAUAUGAAUUUCAUAUAUUUACUUUGGGUUUGCAUUAUUGCUUUAAGAUAUUAUUAUUUAGUUUUGGCCUUUGAAUUCUGACUUAGUCUUACUUUUGUUCAACGUAGUAUUGCAUGAUUUUGCAAGGUAAUCAGGGUAAAUUAUGAUAAAAAUGUAAAAUAAAGAUAUGAACUUUAAAAUUAUUUUUGACUUUAAGUCAUAUCAUUAAGUUAUUUUAUUAAACACACUUAAUUUAACUUUAUUACUUAAAUUAAGUUAUUAAGUUAGUUUAUCAAACGUAAAACUUAAUACUUAUUACUUAACGACUUAAGUUAAUUUUAGGUUAAAUUGUACUUAAGUUGUUGACUUGAAACUUAUUACUUAAUUUUUACUUUAAGUAUUAAAGUUGUUUUAUAAAAUUAAUUAAAAAUUUAUUCUAAAUCAUCAAAUAAAUAUCAAUUAUAACAAACGCAAAGGAGUCAAGUAAUAAUGGAGGUCGUGGAGUAGCAAAAAAGAUUGUGAAGGUAAUUAGGGUAAAUAGGGAUAAAAAGGUAAAAUAAAGAUAUGAACUUAAGAAUAAGUUAAUUGUUUUUAUUUAUCACUUAAAAUCAUUUUUUAUUUUAAGUCAUACUAUUAAGUUAUUUUAUCAAACAUAUUUAAUUUACUUAAUAACUUAAAUUAAGUUAUUAAGUUUGUUUAAGUCAUUAAGUUGGUUUAUCAAACAUUGGGGUGUUUGGUAAAACUUAAUACUUAUUAUUUAAUAAUUUAAGUUUACUUUAAGUUAAAUUAUAUUUAAGUUGUUAACUUAAAAUUUAUUACUUGAUUUUUAUUUUUAAGUAUUAAGGUUGUACGAUAAAAUUAACUUAAAAUUUACUUUAAAUAAUCAAAUUGAUAUAUUUAUCUUUAUAAAUUAUAAUUAAGGUAAAAAGAGUUCAGUAACAAUGGAGGUUGUGAAACAAUAAAAGAAAUCAUAAAGAUAAUUAAGGCAAAUAGAGAUAAUAAAGUAAAAUGAAAAUAUGAAAAAUAAGUUAAUUAUUUUUAUUUAUUACUUAAAAUAAUUUUUGAUUUUAAAUCAUAUCAUUAAGUUAUUUUAUCAAAUAUACUUAAUUUAUUUAAUAAUUUAAAUUAAGUUAUUAAAUCACUUCAAGUUGUUAAGUGGUUUAAUGACUUAAUUUAUCAAAUCACUUAUUCUUUACUAUUCUUUCAUUGGGACUGUCAGAAAGACCUACCACCAAGAGAAGGUCAACAAGAAAUUUUUUGAAAAAUUAACAAAUUCUCCUAAUGAGUUGUUUGUCAUGUGUUUCAUGGGAAAUAUAGAAAAUUAAAGAAAUCCUAUAUAUGUAAAACCAUAAUUGUAACAGACAAAUAAUAAAAGAAAAAGACAGAAAACUAUAAAGGAAGGAAAAUUUACAAUUAAAAUGUUUGAAAGCGCAGACAAUGUAAUCAAUCUCUUAAUUUUCCCAACACCUCCACAGAUUCCCUCUCUUUCUAUAUGUCUAUAUAUAUAUAUAUGCACCUCUUACUUGUAAACCUGUCUGAAUCUUUCUCGGGAGACAAACAGAGAUGGGGUUUGGGGUUCAGGGGUGGUCCUGCAUUUUGAUGGGUGUUGCUGUGAUAUUUUCUAGCACGUGUUUGGCAAGAGGAGUGGGAGAAGGAGAAGGAAAGUGUGAUAUAUAUGAAGAGAGUGGGGAGGUAGAUGAAUCAUAUCCUAUGUAUCAGAAGGGAGUUUGACUGCCAGAAGUACGGACGGCCGGAUAAACUCUACCUCAGAUAUAAAUGGCAGCCCAAGGACUGUGAUUUGCCCAGGUACAAUACCUCUGGAUCUUUCUUUUUCUUUGAAUUUUUUUUUUUGAAAUAUCUCUGUGGACCCCGCAUUUCGGCUCAUGCGCUUCCCACUCGAUGGCGAGUUCGAUUUUUACUUAAAAAAUUGAUUUGUUGAUUAAAAAUGACUUGGAGUCGCCGCUUAUUUUUGUUUUAUAUUUAAAAGGGUAAACAAAAUAAGAAAGAAAACCCUAAGUGUGACUCCUUGUUUUGGAAAAGGUGGUCUGUGAAAAACCGGAUCGGGUUCGGGGGUCAGGUUACUUAUCAGGAAGGUACGGAAAAAAACCGUAGCACCCUUCUAAGUCCCUAAAGUCGGGUCUCUACUAAUAAAAUGAAGUUGACGUGGCAAUUGAUGAGUAAGUCAAUGAAUAUCCUGAAUGAUCAUGCACACGUAAGAAUCGAGACAUGUAUAGACAACGAUUAGAGGGAAAAUGGGUACAUACCUGGGCAACGAGCCACCAUGCGCUAUCCAUAGAGAGGGUUAGUACACCAUAUAGAGCACAAAGCAUAUAACAUGCAUCACUAAACAUGGAUUAGAAUUGUUCGAAGAAAAACUGGAUUUUUGAAAUUCAUUUGAGAAUCAGAAUCUUAUAACUUAUUCGAAAAUUGGAUUCUUAGGAAUUAAAUGUAAGAAUGAGAACUUUUAGAAAUUAAAUUUGAAAGAAAAUUGGGAUUUUGAAGGGUUAUUUGAAAGUUCGGGAUUUUUAAGAAAAAUUAAGUUACGAAGAUCGGGAUUAUGGGAGUUAAAUUUUGAAAGGGAUCGGAAUCUUAAGUUAUUUGAGACAUGGAAAUUAUGAAGGUUGACGUGUAAAAAAUGGAUAUCUUAGAAAUCAUUUGAAGACAAAAUCUAUAGAAAUAAUGAAAUAGAUGAUAAUAAUAAUGACGAUAAUAAGUAACGGGGUAAAUACGGGAAUUGGAGCAUGGGAAACUAGAAAUUAAGUUCGGAGAUAGGACAAUUGGAAAUUCAAAUAGCUAAAUUCAGGAAUCGGAAUUUUGAAGAAUUAGACUCUAAUGAUUGAAAUUUUUAAGAGAAAUAAAUGGGUAAGUAUGGAGUAAUGUUACCGAUUAAUCAAAACGAUAUUUGGGUGGAUGAAUGUAGGAUAAUGAUUCCAAUUGAGUAACAUAAGGUUUAAGCGGAUUAUUGAAAUAUUAAAUUAUCAAAAUAAAUAUGGGAUAAUGAUCCUAAUAGAUGAAAAUAAGGUUUAAACGAAAUAUUGAAAAAUUAGGUUAAGGCACGAGAUUUUCGAAGGAUUAGACUUUAAAUAGAUAGGUAAAUCGAGGUGGAUAAUUCUAAUGAAUGAAAAAUGAGAUUUGAACUAAUUAUUGAAGAAUUAAGUUAAGGCAUGGGAUUUUCGAAGGAUUAGACUUUAAAUAAGUAAAGGAACAUAGGAUACUAAUUCUAAUUAAAGAAAAUAACAUUUAGACAAAUAGUGGGGUUUUAGGAUUGAGAAUUAAAUUAUGACAUUGGAUCUUUUAAAAGGGGCGGAUUUUGGAUAAAUAAACUAAUAUAGGAUGAUAAUACUAAUUAACGAAAAUAAUCAUUUAAACCGAAUAAAAAGAAUAGUGGAAUUUUUAGGGGUUUGAAAAUUAAAUUAGGACAUCUGNNNNNNNNNNNNNNNNNNNNNNNNNNNNNNNNNNNNNNNNNNNNNNNNNNNNNNNNNNNNNNNNNNNNNNNNNNNNNNNNNNNNNNNNNNNNNNNNNNNNNNNNNNNNNNNNNNNNNNNNNNNNNNNNNNNNNNNNNNNNNNNNNNNNNNNNNNNNNNNNNNNNNNNNNNNNNNNNNNNNNNNNNNNNNNNNNNNNNNNNNNNNNNNNNNNNNNNNNNNNNNNNNNNNNNNNNNNNNNNNNNNNNNNNNNNNNNNNNNNNNNNNNNNNNNNNNNNNNNNNNNNNNNNNNNNNNNNNNNNNNNNNNNNNNNNNNNNNNNNNNNNNNNNNNNNNNNNNNNNNNNNNNNNNNNNNNNNNNNNNNNNNNNNNNNNNNNNNNNNNNNNNNNNNNNNNNNNNNNNNNNNNNNNNNNNNNNNNNNNNNNNNNNNNNNNNNNNNNNNNNNNNNNNNNNNNNNNNNNNNNNNNNNNNNNNNNNNNNNNNNNNNNNNNNNNNNNNNNNNNNNNNNNNNNNNNNNNNNNNNNNNNNNNNNNNNNNNNNNNNNNNNNNNNNNNNNNNNNNNNNNNNNNNNNNNNNNNNNNNNNNNNNNNNNNNNNNNNNNNNNNNNNNNNNNNNNNNNNNNNNNNNNNNNNNNNNNNNNNNNNNNNNNNNNNNNNNNNNNNNNNNNNNNNNNNNNNNNNNNNNNNNNNNNNNNNNNNNNNNNNNNNNNNNNNNNNNNNNNNNNNNNNNNNNNNNNNNNNNNNNNNNNNNNNNNNNNNNNNNNNNNNNNNNNNNNNNNNNNNNNNNNNNNNNNNNNNNNNNNNNNNNNNNNNNNNNNNNNNNNNNNNNNNNNNNNNNNNNNNNNNNNNNNNNNNNNNNNNNNNNNNNNNNNNNNNNNNNNNNNNNNNNNNNNNNNNNNNNNNNNNNNNNNNNNNNNNNNNNNNNNNNNNNNNNNNNNNNNNNNNNNNNNNNNNNNNNNNNNNNNNNNNNNNNNNNNNNNNNNNNNNNNNNNNNNNNNNNNNNNNNNNNNNNNNNNNNNNNNNNNNNNNNNNNNNNNNNNNNNNNNNNNNNNNNNNNNNNNNNNNNNNNNNNNNNNNNNNNNNNNNNNNNNNNNNNNNNNNNNNNNNNNNNNNNNNNNNNNNNNNNNNNNNNNNNNNNNNNNNNNNNNNNNNNNNNNNNNNNNCCCCAAAAAAAGGGGGGAAAAAAAAAAAAAAAAAAAAAAAAUCCCAAAAAAAAACCUCUCCCCCGGGGGGGGGGGGGGGGGGGGGGUCUACAAAUAUGCCCCUCUUUGAUAGAGUUCACAAGUGUAAGGAGCGUGAACACUAGAGUGAAAAAGAAGUGUGAAAAGUGAGUGAAAUGAAGUGAACUCUAUCAAAGAACAAAGAAAGACCCCCGAACCCAAAAGGUACAAGUAGAACACAAACUCACUCGAGGCUCUAAAAUUCUAAAAGGCUCAAGGCACCUCUAAAGCUGCAUCGAGGACCCAGACUCCCUCUAAGACAUCUCUACAAGCGACCCAAGAGAUCAACGUCAAAGAUGAGUAAUUGUCGAACCACCCUGGAGUACGAGAAAGAAUGCGCCCAAAGGGGACUACCCUAUGCGGACUACGAGAUGAAUAGACGAUAAACACAGGAUAACGGAGUAAGGAAAAACCGAGGGACAAUGCAAAACCAUGAAGGCAAGAUGCGCAAAGCCAGUGGAUAUGAACGCCAGGAGUUGUGACUUUGGAGGACAAGGCUGACUCUAAACACUAAACUAAGAAAAACGACGGCUCUGGAAGCCAGGCCAAAAAGCUAACUCUAAGCGCUAAACUAGAAAAUAACAGCUCUGGAAGCCAACCAAAAACUAACUCUAAAAGCUAAAUUAGAAAAUAACAGCUCUGGAAGCCUAAACAAGACGACAGCGAUGGCUAAACAAGACGACGGUGAUGGCUCUGGAAGCCUAAAUGAGACGACAGUGAUGGCUCUAGAAGCCUAAAUGAGACGACAGUGAUGGCUUUGGAAGCCCAAACGAGACGAUAGUGAUGGCUCUGGAAGCCUAAAUGAGACGACAGUAAUGGCUCUGGAAGCCUAAACAAGAUGACAGUGAUGACUCUGGAAGCCUGAAUGAGACGACAGUAAUGGCUCUGGAAGCCUAAACAAGACGACAGUGAUGGCUCUGGAAGCCUGAAUGAGACGACAGUAAUGGCUCUGGAAGCCCAAACGAGACGAUAGUGAUGGCUCUGGAAGCCUAAAUGAGACGACAGUAAUGGCUCUGGAAGCCUAAACAAGACGACAGUGAUGGCUCUGGAAGCCUGAAUGAGACGACAGUAAUGGCUCUGGAAGCCCGAAUGAGACGACAGUAAUGGCUCUGGAAGCCUAAACAAGACGACAGUGAUGGCUCUGGAAGCCUGAAUGAGACGACAGUAAUGGCUCUGGAAGCCUAAACAAGACGACAGUGAUGGCUCUGGAAGCCUGAAUGAGAUGACAAUAAUGGCUCUGGAAGCCUAAACAAGACGACAGUGAUGGUUCUGGAAGCCCGAACGAGACGAUAGUGAUGGCUCUGAAAGCCUGAAUGAGACGACGGUGAUGGCUCUGGAAGCCUGAACAAGACGACAGUGAUGGCUCUGGAAGCCCAAAUGAGACGAUAGUGAUGGCUCUGGAAGCUUAAAUGAGAUGACAGUAAUGGCUCUAGAAGCCUAAACAAGACGACAGUGAUGGCUCUGGAAGCCUGAAUGAGACGACAGUAAUGGCUCUGGAAGCCUAAACAAGACGACAGUGAUGGCUUUGGAAGCCUGAAUGAGAUGACAGUAAUGACUCUGGAAGCCCAAACGAGACGAUAGUGAUGGCUCUGGAAGCCUAAAUGAGACGACAGUAAUGGCUCUGGAAGCCUAAACAAGACGACAGUGAUGGCUCUAGAAGCCUAAAUGAGACGACAGUAAUGGCUCUGGAAGCCCGAAUAAAAAAACUAACUCUAAAAGCUAAACAUGAAAAUAACAGCUCUGGAAGCCAACAAAAAAACUAACUCUAAAAGCUAAACUAGAAAAUAACAGCUCUGAAAGCCAAACAAAAAACUAACUCUAAAAGCUAAACUAGAAAAUAACAGCUCUGGAAGCUAACCAAAAAAACUAACUCUAAAAGCUAAACUAGAAAAUAACAGCUGUGGAAGCUAACCAAAAAACUAACUCUAAAAGCUAAACUAGAAAAUAAUAGCUCUGAAAGCCAAACAAAAAACUAACUCUAAAAGCUAAACUAGAAAAUAAUAGCUCUGAAAACCAAACAAAAAACUAACUCUAAAAGCUAAACUAGAAAAUAACAGCUCUGGAAGCUAACCAAAAACUAACUCUCAAAGCUAAACUAGAAAAUAACAGCUCUGGAAGCCACUAAAAACUAACUUUAAAAGCUAAACUAGAGAAUCCAUAGGUGAAAACCUACGGUGGCGAUACAAUAAAAAUGCCCAUAGACGCCAAUCUAUGGUGGUGAAACUCUCAAAGGCCCACAGAUAAAAAUCUAUGGUGGUGAUAACCGAAACAAAUGCUCAUAGAUGAAAAUCUAUGAUGGUGAAUCUGAAAUGCCCGUAGAUAGCUAAUCCAUGGUGGUGAAAUAACUGAAAUGCCCAUAGACGUCCGAUCUAUGGUGGUGAUAAACAAAACAAAUGCCCAUAGAUGAAAAUCUAUGAUGGUGAAUCUGAAAUGCCCAUAGAUGUCUGAUCUAUGGUGGUGAUAAACGAAACAAAUGCUCAUAGAUGAAAAUCUAUGAUGGUGGAUCUGAAAUGCCCAUAGAUAGCUAAUCCAUGGCGGUGAAAUAACUGAAAUGCCCAUAGAUGUCUGAUCUAUGGUGGUGAUAAACGAAACAAAUGCUCAUAGAUGAAAAUCUAUGAUGGUGGAUCUGAAAUGCCCAUAGAUAGCUAAUCCAUGGUGGUGAAAAAUCUUAAACAAAGGGGGAUGCCCUAAACAGACUAAAAAAAUAGGGGGAUGCCCUAAACAAGAUGACGGUAGGGGGAUGCCCUGAACGAAAUGACAGUGGGGGGAUGCCCCAAACGAAAAUGACAGUGGGGGGAUGCCCCAAACGUAAAUGACAGUGGGGGAUGCCCCAAACGAAAAUGACAGUGGAGGGAUGCCCCAAACGAAAAUGACAGUGGGGGAUGCCCCAAACGUAAUGACAGUGGGGGGAUGCCCCAAACGUAAAUGACAGUGGGGGGAUGCCCCAAACGUAAAUGACAGUGGGGGGAUGCCCCAAACGAAAAUGACAGUGGGGGGAUGCCCCAAACGAAAAACGCUAAAGGGGGUAUGCCCCAGUAUGACGACUCGCAAAGAUCAAGAAAUGGACUGAGUAGUGAGAAAGAUGUGCAAAACAGUCGAUGUACUCAAAGAUAGGGGUAUACCCCAGUGUGGCAUGCCACUGCAAAUCUCAAUCCGCUGGAAAUGGCUGAAAGGGACUCUACGAGUCUCAAACGACGCUCCGCUAAGAGCUCAGGAAUAAUGGUCAGUGAGGCGAAUACAAUAUAUCUCGAUCGAGUGAUGGAAACUGUAACGGAUAUGUGAGAGAACGAUCGCCUCCGGGGCUAAAUGAAGGCAAUAUACCCCAGUAUGACAUCAGAUGUACCCAAUCUGUCCUGAUGACCCGAGAAUAACACCAAUGGGACGCGUAACAGAUCUGAUAUGUACCCCUCUGAAAUGACGACGCGGGAAAUCCAGGCACCAGAGACAACUCCAUCCAGGAAUCACGACUACAUCAAAGGGUAUGAAUCUGGCUGAAUGACUCAAGAGAGGCUCCUCGGAGUAUUCGGACAAAAUGAAAUCAAACAUCGACCUGGCGUGUAUCUCAUAACCGUGGAUGAUCAUGUAAACCAGUGGGGAUCUAUAAAUCUCGAUCAAGAUGGGGAAUAUGUCCCAAUGUAAUACGUCGAAAAAUCAAAUGAGCUCAGGUCAUCCAUGCCUAGCUAGAUGGCUCUCGAUAGGCUCCACUAAGGAAUCAUCGUGAGGAUAGCGAAUAUAUCAUCAUCUCUGCACACAUCUCGCCAAAUAAGGAUAAACACGCGACCCCCUCAUGAUCUGUAAAUCUCAUCCGAACCGAAAUAUGCCCCUGUAUGGUAUCGAAAUGUAUGAUAGGUCGGAGAUCAGAUAGCAUGGAAUCAUCUAUCCUCAAACAUGUGACCUCUGCGAAGAUCCAUAAAGAUCCUCCGAAACGAAAUAUGCUCCAGUAUGGCAUCAGGUGCGCAACAGGUCCGAAUAACAAACGUCAUGAAAUCAUCCAUCAUCGCACAUGUGACCUCCAUGAAAGUCCGUAAAUCUCAUCCGAAACGGAAAAUAUGCCCCAGUAUGGGCAUCGGAUGCACGACAGGUCAGAAAUCGAGCGACACGAAAUCAUCUGUCAUCGAACAUGUAACAAUGGUCGUCUGAAUCCAUAACUGAAUCAUGCACACAUAUCCAAAAUGUACCUCCUAGGUGGAGAGGCAUGAUGGAAUCCAAGUGUCGAGAAGUGCGGACCCGGCUGGGUGGAUCUCAGAGGCUCCGUAAGGUAACGAUCAUGUCCACGUCUCGAUGAGCAUCCAGUAAGUGAUGAUCGCGCAAGUCCGUGAGGAUCCAUGAACCUCUAAAUGAAAUGGGAUAUGCCGCAAUGUGGCAUCAAGAGGUACGAUAUGUCAAAAAAAUCAGGUGACACCAAAUCAAUCAUCAUCAAACUCACGAUCCUGGUAAUCCGAACACAACUGAAUCAGACCUAAACAUCAAAGAGGCGACUCCCAAAAGAAGAAGCAUGGCGAUAUCUAAACAUCAACCAGAUCUCAAUCACUUGUCCAAGUAGAGGCUGCCGAAGACGACAUCUGAUCCCAUGGCCUCAGGGUGGUCUUAAGACACGGGACGUAACGUAGGCCAAGGUGAUAGGGUGAUAGAAAUGAAAGAAAACUAGGCUCAAAUACCCAAUGAUCAAAACUCAUGCCCUCAUAUAUGAAAUGCAACAUGUAUAGUGAACCUCAUGAGCCAUGGACCUGAGGAUGCCUAAUGUGAAUAUGAUAUCGAUAAGGAGACAAAUGAAGCAAAAUGAACUGGUAGUGAUAUGUGUAAUGAUGAUGCGAAGUAUCGAACCCGAGAUGGGUCACUGUAAGGGGAGAAUAAGAUGUGAAGGGAAUGAGAUGAAUCACAAGCAACGAUAAAAACGACAGCGAAACAAUGGAUAUGUGAAGAAAGGUAGUGAUCGACUCAGAUCAAACAUGAAGUGAAGUCACAUCAAUAAUGAAUGUAAUGAUGGGAAGGACAAUGACUCGGAGUCCUUAGGAGAAGGUCACUCAUCUCUCUCACAAAUAGAUAUGACGAAGUAAUACAAAUAACAUGGGAUCUCAGAGAGCUCACAUACGAACUCCCAAUAACGAACAUACUCGAUAAAAAUGACCCCCAGACAUCAAUAUACAUACCCAAUGAUCGAGAACACUAUGCACAUACACACAUGUGCUAAUAAUAAUAAUAAUGAUUUUUUUUUUUUUUUUUUUUUUUUUUUUUUUUUUACAUAUAUACAAAUACGCGUACCCUGAACGUGAACAAAUGAACCCCAAAGAUGAUAUCGAUAACAAAUAAACACACCCCCAAGUGAUAAGGCAACCCAAAACUCUCUCUAACGAGAUGACCUUCUCAAACUAAGGAUCUCUAAACCAAUGUCCGUGAGAUAGAUGGUGGAAAUGAUGUGACUAUCCUCCAUGUGAUGAACUGAGGAGGCUCACCACUCAGGGUGGAGAGAAUAUGAGACAAACAAAUAGUAGAUAGGAUAAAGAAGAAGAGAUGAAUAACACAACCAAUAAGAUGAGAUGAAAGUGCAGAGGUGCAGUGAUAGGAAAAGAUGAUGAGAAAAACAUGCCCCUAGGUCCAAGGCUCAUGAAACUACCAAACAAUGCAUGCAUACAUUAAAGGGCCCUUAUCCUGGUGUGAAAAUGUGAGCAAGGCGAUAAGAAAGAAAGGCUAUAAUGUGCAUGCGAGGCUCAAUGGGCUAGCAACGGACUAUGUAUCAAAAGGGAAUAACAAGGUAAUGGCUAACCGAAAUGAUGGCCACCCAUCCUGCGACCAUGGUCUCAAACAUAGUACCUCUUUAGCUGAUCCACAUUGGUUGGCUCUGAGAAUCGGUUUCCAUCUAAAUCCAUCAACCAUGCAGCGCCCUUUGGGGUCAACUCCCUGAUGAAAUAAGGUCCGCUCCAGUUGGGUCUGAACUUCCCUCUAGGAUCCCUGAUCAAUCCCCUGAUGACUUUCAGAACCAAGUCACCAAUCUGUAAUGGUCUGGGCCUGACCCGCUUUUUGAAAGCGCGGGCCAUCUUCCUCUGAUACGCACGAACAUGGUCUGCUGCUCUCAAUCUCCUCUCAUCUAGGAGAUUGAGCUGAUCAAAUCGAGCCUGAGCCCAAUCUGCCUCGGGAAUCUGCUGCUCUAAUGCUACUUUCAACGAACCCAUCUCAAUCUCAACGGGUAGCAUGGCCUCCAUGCCAUAUACCAAGGAGUAGGGUGUGGCGCCUGUAGAGGUGUGAAAAGAAGUCCGAUAAGCCCACAAUGCAAAUGGGAGCUUCUCUGACCAAUCCCGAGAAGUCUCGACCAUCCUCCGUAAUAUCCUCUUGAUAUUCUUAUUCGCGGCCUCUACUGCCCCAUUCGUCUGUGGCCUGUACGCAGACGAUCUAUGAUGCCGGAUGCUGUAUCUCUGUACUAAGGUGUCAACUUCUGCUCUGAAAUGUACCCCUCUAUCCGAAAUCAACUCAUGGGGGACUCCAUAGCGACAGAUAAUGUGUGAUCUGAUAAAACUAGCAACUCCAGCUGAUGUCAAUCUCGCAUAUGAGGCGGCCUCCACCCACUUGGUGAAGUAAUCGAUGGCGACCAGGAUAAACUCAUGACCACUGGAAGAUUUCGGUGAAAUCUUCCCAAUGAUAUCAAUACCCCAGACGGAAAAUGGCCAUGGUGAAGUCAGUGCAUGCAGCUCGGAGGGCGGCACGUGAAUGAGAUCUCCGUGUAUCUGACACUCGGGACACCUCUGAACAAACUGGCAGCAAUCUGUCUCCAUGUUCAACCAGAAGUAUCCUGUCCUCAUGAUCUUACGAGCCAACAUAUGUCCUCCCAUAUGUGGUCCGCAGACUCCCGCAUGAACCUCUCUCAUCACCCGGUCGGUAGAGGCGCGGUCCAAACACAAUAAUAGCAUCCCGUCAGGUGAUCGCCUGUACAGUGUCUCGCCGCAAAUCACGAAUCGAGUGGCCAACUGUCUCAAUGCUCUCUUAUCCUUGGCCGUGGCGGCCUCAGGAUAUACGCCGAGUCUCAAAAAGUGAUAUAUGUCGUGAUACCAUGGCAAACCAUCAUCUGGCUCUACAUCAUCGAUCAGGCAACAGUAAGCAGGAGCAGAUCUCGACUCGAUCAACAGAGGUCGAACAGUGGCAUCAACGGGAAUAUCGAUCAUGGAAGCUAGAGUAGCUAAAGCAUCAGCAAACUGGUUCUGCGCUCUAGGCAGAUGGGUAUAUCUCAAAUCAUCAAAUCUCCCAACCAGUAGCUCCAAAUAUGCAUGAUAAGGCUUAAGCUUCACAUCUCUAGUCUUCCACUCGCCCUAAAUCUGUCUCAAUACCAGAUUGGAGUCACCAAACACCUCCAUCUGUCUAAUCCCGAGCUCGAGGGCCGUCUCUAAUCCCAAGAUACAAGCCUCAUACUCAACAAUGUUGUUCGUGGUAGGAUGUCGAUCCGAGAAUGCCAAACGAACUGAUCUGGGAAUGUGAUCACCGUGAGGGGAUAUCAACAAGACGCCUAUCCCAUAUCCAGAAUGGUUGGCCGCGCCAUCAAAGUACAUGUGCCAACCUGACAGACUAGUCACAGCAGCGACAUCCUCGUCUGGAAAAUCAUCGUCAAUAGCUCUGGCAUCAGAAACUGGUAAUGAGGCUAGAUGAUCUGCUACAAUGCUCCCUCUGAUGGACUUCUGAGUGACAUAAUGGAUGUCAAACUCAAUAAGAAGUACCAGCCAUCUCAUAAGGCGACCAACCAGAGCGGGUCUGUCAAACAAAUAUCUCAGAGGAUCCAGGCGAGAUAUCAAAUGCACAGAAUACUCGGUCAUGUAAUGUCUCAAUCGGCGAGUGACCCAAACCAAUGCCAAGCAAUAACGCUCAAUCAUGACAUACCUCAUCUCGUAGUCUAACAUCCUCUUACUCAAAUAGUAAAUGGCUCGAUCCUUGCCCGAAUCAUCGAGCUGAGCUAACAUGCAACCCAAGGCCACGUCUGAUACGGACAAGUAUAAGAGUAGAGGACGACCUGGUGUAGGAGGCGCCAAAACAGGAGGUGACAACAAGUACUCCCUGAUCCUCUCGAAGGCACGCUGGCACUGGUCAUCCCAAACAGUAGGUUGACUCUUCCUCAAGAGUCGAAAUAUGGGCUCACAGAUGUCUGUCAAUCUGGCUAAGAAUCUACUGAUAUACUGAAGUCUGCCCAGGAAGCCUCUGACCUCUCUCUCUGUCCUCGGCGCAGGCAUGUCAAGAAUGGCUCUAAUCUUGUCCGGAUCUACCUCUAUGCCUCGCUCACUGACCAUGUAUCCCAAGAGUUUCCCAGAAAUCACUCCGAAAGUGCACUUCUUGGGAUUCAGUCUCAAUCUGAACUGUCUGAUCCUCUCAAAGAACCUCUCAAGAGCUGUCAAGUGAUCUGAUCUAUCUCGGGAUUUCACUAUCAUGUCGUCUACGUAAACCUCGACAUCCCGAUGCAUCAUGUCAUGGAAAAGUGUGGUCGCUGCUCUCUGAUAUGUGGCUCCUGCGUUCUUCAAUCCGAAUGGCAUGACUCUAUAGCAAUAAGUACCCCACUCGGUAAUGAAGGACGUCUUCUCCAUGUCCUCUGGAGCCAUCAAGAUCUGACUGUACCCGAAAAAUCCGUCCAUAAAGGACAACAUCGAAUGACCCGUCGUACUGUCAACUAACAUGUCGAUGUGUGGAAGAGGAAAAUCAUCCUUAGGACUAGCCUUGUUGAGAUCUCGGAAAUCAACACAGACUCUUACCUUGCCGUCCUUCUUGGGAAUAGGGACGACAUUGGCCAGCCACUCCGGGUACUCAACCACUGAUAAGAAUCCUACACUGAGCUACUUCUGGAUCUCCUCUUUCACCUGCAAGCUCCAACGAGGGUGUAAUCGUCUCAACUUCUGCUUAACCAGUCUGGCCUGGGGCAGAAGUGGCAAACGAUGCUGGACGAUAGAUGGAUCAAGGCCUGGCAUGUCCUCAUAGGACCAUGCGAAAACGUCUAAGUAGGAUCUGAGUAGCUAGAUGAGGCUAUCUCUCUCAUCUGUAGACAAAUCCGAUCCGAUCCUCAACUCCCUAGGCUGAUCUGCCGUGCCAAAGUCAACAAUCUCGCUGUCCCCUACAGCAGGUGAAACUCUCUGAUCAACGGGGUCUGAAUCGAAAGCAAAAGACGAGUCAUCGUCUAAGUCGUGCUGCGCAACCUCAUCAUCAAUGUCAAAAAUCUAUGAUGUGGGUGAAGAUGGUGCAGAUAAAUCAAUAACAUGAGAGACAGGCAAAUACUCAAAGGUGCUCAAAUCCAUAGAUGAAAAGUCAGAAACAUAGUCAUGACGGGAGACAAAUCCCGAUAAAACAUCAAAGGGGAGAGGUGGGUCCACAAGGUCGGACGCUCCCUCAACUAGGCCAACAGGGCCAUCAAACACAUCAACAGCAACUAUAACAUCCUCGACGACCUCUGGAGUGGGGUCAACCUGGAUCUCCUCGGCGAUCUCGAGGACGGACACCCCAAAGAGAUCAAAUGGUGAAGCGAGCUCCGGCGGGGCUAUCUCCUCAGUCUGGCCCAAGCUCAUCGCGAGCAUCUCAUCAACGUACUCAUCACGCGGCACGGCUCCAUCCACUACGUCUCCAAUCUAUGCAAAAGUCCCGUGAUCAUCGAUCUCAUCCGGGAAGCAAAGCGUCAUAAGGCUCGUGCGAUCUGGGGAGGAAGGAGCAAUCAACACAGAAGCCGAAGGGCUAGGGGCUCCGUCACUCAACUGUAACUGCUGGACGAGGCACUGAAGCUCGGCCUCCUGGGUGGUGCUGAGUCCUCCGAUGAUCCCAUCAGAUGGUGCAUGUGACUCCGAUGCCCUCACAAAGUAAUCAAAUAAGCUCCUGGCGUAUGGGCGAAGAGGAUAGUCGAAAGGCGUGUGGGUCAGCCGAGCCCUCACUCUCUCCCUACGCAAACGCGCCAUGUAUCGAUAGUCAGCCUCGGUGGGGAUGAACCCAAGCCCAAAUGGUAUGUCAUGAUCAGGAAUGGUGAUUAACUCGCUCGGUCCAUGCUGACGUCAACCCAACCCCAUGCCGGGUAGAUAGGACAUGCCUCUCAUGAUAUCAAGCACCACUGUGCUCCCAUGUUGGUCAAAGGACAUAGCGAUGAAGUCCAGGCAAAAGUCUCCCAGUCUGUACCUCAUCAAAAGUGAACCCGGUCAGUAGUAAAUCAUCAUCACUGUGGCUGAUCUGGAGCACGGGCUCAGCGGAAAUGAACAUGUCCCCUGCCGACUGUACGACGACUACCUGGCCCUCAUGGAUGAACUUCACUUUCUGAUGAAGUGAAAAAGGAAUGGCUCCAGCUCGAUGAAUCCACGGUCGGCCCAAAAGCAGGUUAAAGGAUGUAGGAAUCCUCAAAACCUGAAACACGGCGACAAAAGUGGCUGGACCAAUCAGCAACUCGAUCUCCAAUGUACCCAUGACCUCCCUCCGAGUACUGUCAUAAGCUCGGACGGUCUGAGUGGAGGGACUGAAAUCAGAAGGAGCGUAUCUAAGAGCGAUGGCGGUGGCCAGAGGACAUACGUUCAGGGCUGAGCCAUUGUCCAGAAGGGCAGAUGGAACUCGACGACCUGAAAAGCCAACAGAUAUAUAGAGAUGACGCGUGUGGUCUGAACCCUCUGGUGGCAAGUCAUCAUCGGAAAAGACGAUGCAAGUGGCUCUGCCGGCCGUCAUCAUAUGGAUCAAUCCCUCGGGGGAGGUGGUAGUCUCGACUCGGAUCUGGCUCAAAGCCCGAAUCAGAGCAUCACGAUGAAUGCUCGAGGACGCCAACAGGCUCCAAAUGGAAAUACGAGCCUGAGUGCUCCGCAACUGUCUCAAGAUCUCAUCGUCCUCGGCUUUGACCUCCUCGGGAGCGGACGUACCCUCAAUUGGCCUAGCUGCCGCGGGAGGUGGCUGUCGCAUCACUCUGCCUCCUCGGAAAACAUACUGAAUGUCCAGAGUCUGAGAAUCAUCAUUGUGUGGAGCCUGAAACUCCUCAACAUCUGGGACUAAGACGAACGACGUCUGAAUGCUAUAGCGCGGCAAGAUCAAUGGCUCAACGGUGGCAGCCUGCACUGACGCCGCCUCGGGAACUAAUCGGAAUGAAGCAGGCGUCCGAGGGCCCAGAGUCACCCCACUCAUCUCAUAAAUCACAUCUGGCAUGAUGGGCUCCGGGUCUGGAUCAUCACCACUCAGCAUGUGGAUGUGGUCAUCGAUCUCAUCAAACUCCAAGAAAUGAAUGCCAUCAGCUGGUGGAGGGAUUGCAUGCGUGGUGUGAGCAGGCAACGGGUUUGUGGUCACACUCGGCUGACCCAAGUGCACCAAACCCUGGUCGAUCAAAUCCUGAACGGCAUGCCUCAAAGCGGUGCAUCGAUCUGUCUCAUGUCCAGGCCCCUGAUGGUAUGCACAAUGUAGAUCCAUCCUGAACUGAGGUGGAAUCGAUUGAGGCGGCGGCCGAGGGGUGUGAGUAGUCAAUAACCCAGCCUCUGUAAGCUUCCGAAGAGUCUGGCUCAACGGCAUGCCUAUAUGUGAGAACUGCCUUUGCGUCCUCAAAGCAAAGGGAGCAGAAGUCUGCUGAGCUCUGGGUCGGGGAUAAGGCGCUGCGGGUCUCGCAGUGAACUGAGCAGCGUAGCAUGGCUGUCCUGUAGCCGUGUAGGAAACCGAGGGUCUCUCAAUGCCCUGGGAGGCAUAAUAAGGCAAAGCCAAAGUCUGCGGAGUAUAUGUCUGAUCAUAAGCUGGACGAGGUGCCCGUGGCCUGUACUGAUGAGAUGCAUAGGACGAAUGAGGCUCGGGAAACUGUGGGAUCGGCUGAUGGCGCCUGAGAGGCCUCUGACUGGAAGAACUGAUAACGCUCACAUCUGUUGGCCUCGAUCCUACGAAGGGCUUCUUCCCCUUAAUAUCACUAAGGGAAGAAUCUGUCCAUAAUCCUCUCGAGAUGCCGUCCUCGACAUCGUACAGAGCCAUAACCAGAGACCCAAAAUCUGUGAACGGGGCCCCUACCACAUGUCUGGCGAUCCGUGGCUGCAGGCUCCUCAAAACCAUCUGAAUCUGGUCCCUCUCUGAUGGUCUAUCGAUAAUCUCAGCUAUCUUCCCGCGCCAGCGGGAAAUGAACGAAGAAACUGACUCGUCCGAUCUCUGCCUAAGAGCCUCUAGCUCUCUCCUCGAUACGUCUACGACAGUGUUAAACGAAAACUGUCGUAGGAACUCCUGGGCCAAGUCGUCCCAUGUGCGGCGCCUCGAGGCCUCCAAAGAUGCAAACCAACGCUGGGCCGCCCCACUCAAAGAUAGUGGGAAAAGAGUAAUCAUCUGAGGCUCGUCCAGUCCAUGAGCCCUCAUCACGGUGCUGUAUAAUCGGAGAUGGAGGCGUGGACAACCAAUGCCAGUAUACCUCUCAAUGUCAGGCAUCCUGAACUUAGCCGGCAAGCUAGCUACCGGCACUCCAUCAAAACCCUCCCAAGUAGUGGCUCUGUCUGAAGCCCUCAAUUGUCGCAAACCCUGCUCAAGUCUAUCCAUGCGAGCAUGUGGGUCCUCUGAGGUCGGGGUGAGCGCGGUGAUGGGAGGCAGGGCAACCCCGGUCUGACUAUGCAGAGUGAACGGCAUGGCCUGUGGCGCUGACUGACUGGGUGGAGGAGGUGGUGGCACUGUAGGGUCAUACUGGGCACCAACCGGGGGCGGGACCUGCUGGGCCUACUGCCCAUCUAUCCUCCGGCCAAGGCUAGCUAUAGCCUCCUGAAUCGAAGCCAUGGCCUCAGCGAACUGAUGGACGGUAACUAUCUGUGAAUUCAUAUCCCUCUGAUCUGAUCUCUGGUCUAACCAGUCCGAUACCCUGAUCAAUCUACCCCCAACUCUAAUCCAAGAAGUCGAUCCCAGACUGAACGUAUCGGUACUCCUACAAUAGUGAAAAUACUAGAUAAGGUGCGGGGUAAGGGAAACUUCACAAAGAAUGUCUAUCAAAUGUGUCAAAAGGUAGCCUGGAAGCGAACAAACCGAUAUCCAACCCUGAGCAGGUAUAUAAGAGACUACUGCGAAGGUAACCAAACCUGUUACUACUGAAACGGCUCUGAAGGCCCACGGAUGCACCCACGUGUAGGGAGGGAGUCCUAAUUGAAGGAUCUACGACUCAACCUACAAGGUGAAGGUGGCUCUAAAUGGAUACGGGUGGACUUUAAAAGAUCCCUAGCAGAAGCGAUCAUACCCUCCAGCAGUACGCAACCCUCUACACGCCUCAAAGAGAGACGGGGUGCUUCCAUGCAAGGUGGUCAUCACCUCCACACAUGCACUACCUCGACACCCCAGGGGGUUUCCUAUGGUGAAAUCUCUCAAACUCUCAACGCUCAAUGGUCAACUAAAGUGCAUAGUGAAUGGUGUGGGUGCAUCCGAAAACCCUAAGGAUCUAGAGCAGAAGAUGAAACACACUGGUCGCACGACUAUCCAUGAAACCUAGCUCGGGGCUAUACAGGUCUUCAAUGAUCGGACUCCAAUCGACAUCAAAGUGUCGCUCUCCUCCAGAAUGCUCUCGUGCAUCGAUAUAGCCCGUCGCUAGACCCUACUCCUAAUCUCGGGCUCGGUCAGAGAGCAAGCACACAGAAUGUCUCACACUUGCAAUAGUGAGAACUGAGAUGAAAGGAAUGACCGAAACCAAGAGAGUUGGAGGUAGGGGGAUAGAAGUGAGACCCACAUAGACAGACGACAUGCAAUCAUGCAGAGGGAGGGCAGUCAUGCAUCAUACAGUCAGACAGAGCAGGAUAUAUCACUCAUAUACACACAAGAUAAGCGAAAAUACGACAAUCAAGACGAAUAGUGAUACAAACAUCAUGCUCAAAGACGGUCAAAACAGUAUUACAAGUCAGAGAAUCAACAUGUCAAGUCGAGUGAUAUACAGUGGUGAGUGUAUGCAUGUGAAGUGAUCAGGACAAGCAUGGAAAAAUCAGAAUCAAUGUGCUAAUCAAUGCAAUAAGAUCAAUCAUCGAUAAUCCAACAUGUCAAAAUCUCGAAUGAACACGACAUCUAAGCAUGCAUCAAGAAAUCCUCAAUGUGCAAUCAAGAGAUGAGCAUCCACUGAUCGUCCAAUCAAAUGCCACGUUUGCUUCACUCUAAGUUCAAGCUUGACCCUCUAAAAAAAAUUCCCCAGCGGAGUCGCCAUUUUGUGGACCCCGCAUUUCGGCUCAUGCGCUUCCCACUCGAUGGCGAGUUCGAUUUUUACAUGAAAAAUUGAUUUGUUCAUUAAAAAUGACUUGGAGUCGCCACUUAUUUUUGUUUUAUAUUUAAAAGGGUAAACAAAAUAAGAAAGAAAACCCUAAGUGUGACUCCUUGUUUUGGAAAAGGUGGUCUGUGAAAAACCCGAUCGGGUUCGGGGGUCAGGUUACUUAUCAGGAAGGUACGGAAAAAAACCGUAGCACCCUUCUAAGUCCCUAAAGUCGGGUCUCUACUAAUAAAAUGAAGUUGACGUGGCAAUUGAUGAGUAAGUCAAUGAAUAUCCUGAAUGAUCAUGCACACGUAAGAAUCGAGACAUGUAUAGACAACGAUUAGAGGGAAAAUGGGUACAUACCUGGGCAACGAGCCACCAUGCGCUAUCCAUAGAGAGGGUUAGUACACCAUAUAGAGCACAAAGCAUAUCACAUGCAUCACUAAACAUGGAUUAGAAUUGUUCGAAGAAAAACUGGAUUUUUGAAAUUCAUUUGAGAAUCAGAAUCUUAUAAAUUAUUUGAAAAUUGGAUUCUUAGGAAUUAAAUGUAAGAAUGAGAACUUUUAGAAAUUAAAUUUGAAAGAAAAUUGGGAUUUUGAAGGGUUAUUUGAAAGUUCGGGAUUUUUAAGAAAAAUUAAGUUACGAAGAUCGGGAUUAUGGGAGUUAAAUUUUGAAAGGGAUUGGAAUCUUAAGUUAUUUGAGACAUGGAAAUUGUGAAGGUUGACGUGUAAAAAAUGGAUAUCUUAGAAAUCAUUUGAAGACAAAAUCUAUAGAAAUAAUGAAAUAGAUGAUAAUAAUAAUGACGAUAAUAAGUAACGGGGUAAAUACGGGAAUUAGAGCAUGGGAAACUAGAAAUUAAGUUCGGAGAUAGGACAAUUGGAAAUUCAAAUAGCUAAAUUCAGGAAUCAGAAUUUUGAAGAAUUAGACUCUAAUGAUUGAAAUUUUUAAGAGAAAUAAAUGGGUAAGUAUGGAGUAAUGUUACCGAUUAAUCAAAACGAUAUUUGGGUGGAUGAAUGUAGGAUAAUGAUUCCAAUUGAGUAACAUAAGGUUUAAGCGGAUUAUUGAAAUAUUAAAUUAUCAAAAUAAAUAUGGGAUAAUGAUCCUAAUAGAUGAAAAUAAGGUUUAAACGAAAUAUUGAAAAAUUAGGUUAAGGCACGAGAUUUUCGAAGGAUUAGACUUUAAAUAGAUAGGUAAAUCGAGGUGGAUAAUUCUAAUGAAUGAAAAAUGAGAUUUGAACUAAUUAUUGAAGAAUUAAGUUAAGGCAUGGGAUUUUCGAAGGAUUAGACUUUAAAUAAGUAAAGGAACAUAGGAUACUAAUUCUAAUUAAAGAAAAUAACAUUUAGACAAAUAGUGGGGUUUUAGGAUUGAGAAUUAAAUUAUGACAUUGGAUCUUUUAAAAGGGGCGGAUUUUGGAUAAAUAAACUAAUAUAGGAUGAUAAUACUAAUUAACGAAAAUAAUCAUUUAAACCGAAUAAAAAGAAUAGUGGAAUUUUUAGGGGUUUGAAAAUUAAAUUAGGACAUCUGGUUUCUAAAGGAUUGGAUUUUAAAUAACUAAACUCGUAUAGGAUGAUAAUACUAAUUAACGAAAAUAACAUUUAAACGGAAUAAAAAGAAUAGUGGAAUUUUUAGGGGUUUGAAAAUUAAGUUAGAACAUUGAAUUUUUAAAGAGUUGGACCUGAAAUGAAUAAAAAGAUAGGGGAUAAGAAUUCUAGUUAACGAAAAUAACAAUUAGGCGAAUAAUAGAAUUUCGAAGGUUGAAAGUUAAAUUGAGAUUUUUGAAAGAUUUGACUUUAAAUAAAUAUAGGAUGAUGAUUCUAAUUGAUAAAAAUGAAAUUUAAACGAAUUGUAGAAUUUUUAGGAUUGAAAAAUUAAAUUUAAAAAAAAUAUACGGAAUGUUUGAAGGAUUAGACUUUAAAUAACUAAAUAAAUACGGGAUUGUAACUCUAAGUGAUGAAAAUAAAAUUGAGUUGAAUUGUAGAGUUUUUAGGAUUUGAAAGAUUAAAUUAAAACAUGGAAUUUUUGAAGGAUUAAACUUUAAAUAACUAGAUAAAUACGUGAUAAUAAUUCUAAUUGACGUACAUGAGAUUUAAACGACUUAUGGAGAAAUUAAAUUAAGACCUGUGAUUUUUAAAAGGGUUAGACUUUAAAUAACUAUAUAUGUAUGAGAUAAUGAUUUUAUUUGAUAAAAAUAAGAUUUAAACGAACUAUUGAAAAAUUAAAUUGAGGCAUGAGAUUUUUUUUAAAAGGGUUAGACUUUAAAUAACUAUAUAAAUAUGGAAUUAAUCACUCUAUUUAAUGAAAAUGAGAUUUUAACGAGUAUUUGAAGGAUUAAAUUCAAAUAUAGGAUUUUUGAAGGAUUACUUAAAGACCUAAGUUUUGAAAAUGGAAUGUAAAGUCUAGAAUGUAGAAACUUAUUUGAGUCCAAUAUAAAUUAAUUUAUACAAAAGUUUUUCAUAUAUGGUGAUUAGACAUAAUUAAAAUAUAGAUUAUUUUGUGUUUCAAAAAACGAUGUUUACCCCUAAUGAUUUAUCCCUUAGUUAUGCUCAAGUCAAAUUAAAGAAGGUAGGUAAAAAUGUAAUAAGGUGUAAUAAAAAAAUAAAUAAUAAAUAGAUUAUGAGGAUUAGGAGUUUAGAGAUUUAUUUAGAGCUGGGACAGCCAAGUGGGCUAACCCAACAUCGCUUUGGACCAUGAGGGUAGCUAGUUUAGGAACAAUGAGGCUCCUCAUCAACGCGUGGGCUGGGCUCCAAACCCAAGCCCAAAUCCGAACCAUGGGCCAGCCCCAAAACAGCCAUUUCCAUUACAAACUUGGGCUUGGGCUCAAAUCUGCACCCGCCACCACCAGAAAAACCCACAUUGCCGCCUUUGACACUUUGAGCCUGAACUUCGCCUCCUCGUUUAAGCUCGUCAGUGACGAACCGUACACCGCCUUCCCCAUCGAACCUGAAGGCUCUAACUGCCCUGACCGCCGCCCCCCGACGCCACCGGAUUUCUUCAAGUCGUCUCUGGUAGUCGGCGCUGCACGUGACCCUGUCGUCGGCUGCCGCUCCUUGUGUUGAUCCUGCCGCUUAGAUAUGUGAAGGCCAUUGCUGAGCUGGUGAGAUGGGAUUCGCGUACCCAUUGAUGACUUAAAGAGAGGAUCUACAGAGAGGAAGGUAGAGAAGGAGCGAAAUGGAGAGGUGCUUUAGAGAGAGAAAAGGUGGUUAUGGAGAGAGGAAGGGUGACGACGUGCAUGUACAGUCCUCAUGCUCGUGGAAGGGAUGAUGAAAAUGAGAGGGUGGUGUUUCUGAUGGGUGGUGAGAUGAGGGUAGCCAUGCUCAUAUAGUGCUGUGUUAUCCAUUCUUUCAAUGUUGUAAAAGUGCAAUCUUUUCAAAAGGGCCCCAACAGCACCACUAUCCCCACUAAGAAGCUGUUAAGCAGGAUAUGGAAAGAAUGGAUGAUUCCUUCCCAUGUCUAGAUCUUUUAACAUUCCAUGAAAAAAAACCAACUGCAUCUAUGGAAUUCCUGAUGGUAUAAACCAAUGGCUGAGAAGAUCCGGGUAACAAAGAUGGACCAGGAACUAUACCAAGCCUAAGAGAUCUAGGUGAAAGAGAAAAAAAAAACACUUACCGAAGGACUUUUCCUGCUCAUUGGGUCAUUGUAAAUACAGCUGCAUUGUUAACCUUGGGAACUAUUGUCGUCAAGUCAAUAGUGGCAUAACACAAAAAAUCCAUGGCAGACUUAUGAAACAUUGUACAAGUAGCUGCAGUGUAGCAUAGGCUUUGUGUAUCUAGCAUAGAAAAUACCUGGACCAAAACGAGAAGCUCCUCCUCUGCUCAGCUCGAAAUCACCUCCCUAUAGCUCCUCUUGCUUACAGCUUCUCCGUGGCCUUCAAACUCUUCUUCUCAGUUCUCUCUCACUCUCCCUCAUGCACUCUCCUUUUCUUUUUCUUUCUUUUCCUCUGUUUUUCUUCUGUUUGUGUCUUCCUCAGCAAGCCAGUCGUAUCCCGUCCAAUCUGCCCCCCAAGAGCCGCCCACUUCAGUCUCCUUUUUCUCUGCCCCAAAAACAACCCCUGACCAUCAUGUCGAGCGGCUCCUCAAAAAAGGUAGGAAAAAGAAAAGACAUAAAAUAAAUCCCAAGAAAAAAACUCUGCCUCCGGGGGGUCUACAAUCUCAUUGUUUUAUAUAUAUAUAUAUAUAUAUAUAUAUAUAUAUAUAUAUAUAUAUAUAUAUAUAUAUAUAUAUAUAUAUAUAUAUAUAUAUAUAUAUAUUUAAAAAUUUUUAAAAAUUUUUUUGUAAAAAAAAAAAAAUAUAUAAAAAAAUUUGUAAAAAAAAUAUGUGUAAAAAAAAAAAAAAAAAAAAAAACAUCAUUUGUAUGUUAUAAAAAAUAUUUUUUUUUUAUUUUAAACAAAAAAAAAAAAAAAAAAAAAAAAAACCCCACACUUUUUGUGUAUGAUUAUUUUUUUUUAUUUGAGAAUUUUAUUUAAAAAUUUUUUAUUUUUUUUUUUUGUUUUAAAAAAAAAAUAUUUUAUGUAUAAAAUAAAAAAAUCAGAUUGAAAAUUUUCAAGACCAAAUUUAGUAUCUUAGAUCUUUCCCAAAAAAUUUCUAUUUAUAAUGUUUUGAUUAUAUAUAUAUAUAUUGAUUUAUUUUAGGUAUAUUAUAUAAUAUAUUGAAAAAAUAUCUUAAAAAUAUUUUNNNNNNNNNNNNNNNNNNNNNNNNNNNNNNNNNNNNNNNNNNNNNNNNNNNNNNNNNNNNNNNNNNNNNNNNNNNNNNNNNNNNNNNNNNNNNNNNNNNNAUCAUGUCGAGCGGCUCCUCAAAAAAGGUAGGAAAAAGAAAAGACAUAAAAUAAAUCCCAAGAAAAAAACUCUGCCUCCGGGGGGUCUACAAUCUCAUUGUUUUAUAUAUAUAUAUAUAUAUAUAUAUAUAUAUAUAUAUAUAUAUAUAUAUAUAUAUAUAUAUAUAUAUAUAUAUAUAUAUAUAUAUAUAUUUUAAAAUUUUUAAUAAUUUUUUUGUUAACUAAAAAAAUUAUUUAGAAUAAUUUGUCAAAAAACUACGUGUAAAAAGAAAAAAAAAGAAGAGAACAUCAAUUGUAUGUUAUGAAAAGUAUUCAUUUUUUACGUUAAGCAGAAGAAAAAAAAAAUUAAAAAAAAACCCGACACUUUUGGUGUAUGAUUAUUUUUUUUUAUUUGAGAAUUUUAUUUCAAAAUUCUUUAUUUAAUUUUCUUGUUUUAAUUAAAAAAUAUUUCAUGUAUAAGAUAGAAAAAUCAGAUUGGAAACUUUCAAGACCAAAUUUAGUAUCUUAGAGCUUUCCCAAAAAAUUUCCAUUUAUAAUGUUUUGAUUUGAUAUUUAUGUAUUGAUUUAUUUUAGGUAUAUUAUAUAAUAUAUUGGAAAAAUAUCUUAAAAAUAAUUUAGAUUCCUUAAUCCAAUUAAACAGAAGAAUACAUAGUAUCUCCAAAAUUAAUGCCUCUAAUAUAUUUACAAAAUUACUCCACCAAAAUUUUUUGUCUCAAAUUAUUAUAAAAAAAUUGUUUUUUUUUAUUCAUUGUAAAGCAAGAAAUAAUUAUUAAUUGAAAUUAAGAGUUCAGUUUUGAAUAGAGGGUUUUCUUAGGGUACAAUUAUUAAAUAGGUUAAAUGAGUUAAAUGAUGUAUUAUCUGUUUAAUAAUUAUGUAAUAUUUUGGUUUAUGUUUUUAAUACGAUUAUUAUUUAUAUUGGAUUUAGAUUGAGCUAUGUAGUAUAAUACCUAGGUUUUGACAUGAUAUUAACACGACCCAUAUUUAAUUAAUUUCUUAUAUUUUCCUACAUAUUUAACAAACAUGUAGUAAUACUAACCAUGCAAAAUUGCAAUUGGGUUGUAAGUAACAAAUUUUAUUAUCCUUCCAAAUGUACAUUCACCUUAGUUACCAUUUUUACACACGAUAUUAUUGAUCAAGUCACAAAUCGAAUAAAUACGAAGCGCCAUGUACAUAAAUAAAUUUAAUUUAAAAAACAUAAAAAUAGGUUAUGAACAUUUUAAGUUCCCAUCGUAUUUUUAUUUCAUAAAACAUGAUAGAUUUGUUUGGAAAGUAUUUUUGAAAAUAAUUUUUUAUCAAGUUGUAAUAAUUUUUUUUUUUUAAAUAAAUGAAAGUACAUUGAAGACAAUAUUAGUAUUUGAUAUUAGAGCCACAUUCAUUUUAAAAGAAAAAUUAGUAUCCGUAAUGCUAACUCAAAAUAUAUCAUUGGAAAAUCUAAAAAUGCCCAUACCAUUCAAAUAAUAAUAAUUAACCAAAAAUAAAAAAAUAAAAAAUUGAAGGCAAAUUGGUGCUUUACCUUUACUUCAUUUCUCCAACUCCAGGCUUCAUCGUCUGUGUCAGCAGAUUUGCCUCAACUUAAUGGCAAUCCUGAAUAAGAAAUAUUUAUAAAGAGAUUACUUUAAGUCGAUCUCUGUACAAUUGAAGAAUGAAAUUCUUAAAAUUUUAGACUCAAAUACCCGAAUGGAACUGAGGAUCCCUGGGUGCCCAGAAAAAUGGAGGUUCUAUGGAAGCCUCAUGAGGAGAUGACUUCGCCAUCCAUAACUACGUAGGGGAUAUGAGCAAUCUUGGGCCAUUCUUUCCCUUUAUCCCUUUGGCACCGUUUUAUCAGCAGAGGACAAUCACGAAUCAGGAGAAUAGAGAGGGAGGAGGGCAGCCCCUGUGUCGGAAAGGACUUUAACUUAAAACACUUAUAAAGCCGGAGUGUUUGAAGAGAAGUGAGGUUUUGAAGCCUCAGAUUGUCCAGGGAUUUCAGAUCUGGAAAAUUAAGAAUCUGGAGAGAGAUGAGAGUGGAGGGCAGCAGCAGCCACUCUUCGAAAAAUGACUCCGACCCUUCUUCUGUAUCUCCAGAGAUACUCAAUUUUCUAAGGGAGGGAAGUGUUUGUAUGCCCCAUUCCUUCUGAGAUUCCAUAAGCUUGUAGCAGUUCCAUAUCUCAAGUGAAGAUAGAUUAGUCGGCAAACCCCCUUCCGGAAAUGAAACAAUUUCUGGACAAUCAUAUAUCUCCAAAUCUUCAAGCGAGGUAAGGAGGGUGUGCAUCCGUUGGGGCAGUGACUUAAGCUUGUUGCAAUAUCCUAUCCGAAGUUGUCUCAGGUUGGAAGCUGGCAAUCCUCCUUGUGGAAAAGACACCAGAUUCGGGCAAUCCUGGAUGUGUAUGCUUGGGAGAGAUGUGAGAUCCAUGUUGUGAAGUCCAUCUGGAAUGUCAAGGGACUCCAGAUUUGUACAACCCCAGAUAUAAAGUGUCUCAAGCUUUGUGAAGAAGGCUAAUGGAAAGUACGUGAGAGAAUCACAACUUCCAUCAAUAUGUAAACUGGUAAGCCAAGGGUAAUAACUGUGCGUGGUCUCCUCAGGAAGGGGUAACUCUACUUUCCCACACUGCUUGAUUUCAAGUGAUUUCAAUGAAGAGAUGCUGGGGAAGGACGUAAGAGAAUCACAUUCUUCUGUAGACAACUUCUGGAGACGGGUAUUAUUUUGAAUCAUUCCCUCUGGUAGGGUCUCUAGAAUGCCGCAUUUUUUUAUUUCAAGGAUUUCAAGCAUGGAGGGCAGCCCCAUCUCUGGAAGAGAGGAAAGAUUCUGACAUUCCUUGAUAACCAACUUCCGAAGAGACGUGAGCUUAUGCAAAAUCGGUGGCAAUUCCACUUGUAUGGAGCAAAUAUUACUCACUUCCAACUCAGUUAGUGAAGGCAUAUGGACAGCACUUCUCAAUACUACCUUAUCACAUUCUUUUAAAUUCAGAUGCUGAAUGGACGGAGCCUUUGGAAGCUGACACACCAGUUGCCCACAUUCUAAAAUUACCAGAUUUGUUAGAAGAGGAAGGUGCUUGGGCAAAUCCCCUUUCAGCUUUGCACAACACUCAAUGUGGAGCUCAUUGAGACAAGGGAACUCCCCCCCUUCGACUCCAAAACAAUCCCAUUCCUCCCACUCUGACAUCUCCUUGAACACCAGAGUCUGCAGGCUUCCAAAUGGCUUAAAUGAAGAAGGCCCAUUCCCAUAAAACUCCUGCCCCACCUUUCGCAGAACAUCAUUCUUCACAAUGGACAGGUUCUGGAGAGACCGUAGCUGUCCAAGCGGUGGCAAGGAUGCACAAUUUUUACAGUUAGAGAGUUGUAGACUCACCAUGUUGAUGAAUGAAGGGUCCCCUAACCAGCUUGGAAAUUUCGCACCAUAGUAGCAUCCAAUGGAGAGUUCUUUCAGGUUGUCAUGAGGCUGCAGCUUUUCCAGCACACUUGCUGCAUCUUGUGAAUCACCGGCAAUUGCAUUAUCAUCUUCCCAAUUCAAUUCUAACUUGUCAAGGCACUCCUUACGCUUCAUAUUACUCUCCAAGGCAUCUCUAGCAUCCACCACAUUUUGCAACUUGAAAAUGGCAAGUGUACCACUAAGGUGUGAAAGGUCCCUCAAUUCCCCAACUCUUGAUCCUGUAUGCUUACUGACAACAAAAGUAGUCAACGUUCGAAGAUUUUUCAUUCUACUCAUUUCCAUUGGCAUCCUUUCUAGCUUAGUCCCAUCGAUUUUGAGAUGACGUAAGUUGAUUAGUCUUCCCAUUUUUGUCGGCAAUUCAACAAGAUAUUCACACCAUGAUAACAUCAAAGUUUGCAAGUUGAAAAGAGUUGUUAUUGAUUUAGGUAAUGUUCUAACUAAAUUAUGAGAGAGGUCCAAAUAGCGUAGGUGUUUCAAAUUUCCAAUCGAGUGAGGCAAGUCUUUGAUGCCAUAGUAAGUCAAAGACAAAACCCGCAAACACAUCAAUGUUGACAACAAACAAUGUGAGACCUCCUUGCUUAAAUAGAAAUUAGGAAUACCAUGAGUACCAAGAGACUGUGGUAGGAAGGUCUGUAGAUUAUGGUCGUCAAGAAAUGAUUUAAAUUUCUUGGAGGCUAUGCCUUGUUGCCAACUAUAUGAAAAAUGUCGAAUCUCCUUAGAAAUUUUAUUUUGCUUUUCAUCCUCCAACCUACAACAAAAUCUUCCUGAUAUAAAUUGUGCUAAAUCAUGGAUCAGAUCAUGCAUCACAAAUACAGAUUCAUUGUAAUAAUAUCGUUGAAAGAACGACCUUGACAAUAGAUUAUUGAAACAUAUGUUACCAAACUCUUCUACAGUUCCCUCUCUUUUAGAGCUAUCUAAGAAGCCUUCCGCCAUCCAUAACAAUACUAACUUCUCUUUUUCAAACACAUAAUCCUUAGGGAAUAUGGAACAAUACGUAAAACAUCGCUUCAAUUUUGGAGGGAGAUAAUAGUAACUCAAGUUCAAAGCAGGAAGAAUAUUACUUUGGUCAUUUGGUAAAUCCCAUAUUUCGUUGUUUAAUACGUCAUUCCAAGCAGUGCUAUCUUGUUUAGAGCGUAAUAAACCUGCAAGAGUCUUCGCUGCCAAAGGUAAGCCUUUGCAUUUUCUUGCUAUCUUCCUACCAAUUGAUUCCAAGUUUUGGCAUACAUCCGAAUUUAGAUUUUUGAAGGCUUGUUGUGCAAACAAUAACCAACAUUGUUCAUCAGUUAGUUGAUGAAGCUGAUAAGAAGAAGCCGUUGUUCGCAUAAUUGAUGCCACAUUUUCAUUGCGAGUUGUUACUAAGACCACGCUGCCUCGUGCUCCGACAUUAAAAGGAGCUUGUAGGACAUCCCAAUGGUUGGGAUUCUCGUUCCAUACGUCAUCUAGAACAAGGAAAAAUCUUUUCUCCUUCAUUUCAUUUUUCAAUUUUUCUUGAAGCAAUUCCAAGGUUUUAAAUUCACAUGGACGUUUCGUGAUGGACUCAAGAAUUGCUUUUGUUAUUCCUACAACAUCAAAAUCAUCAGAAACACAAACCCAAACUCUCAUAUCAAAACGGUUCUCCACCCUGCCAUCAUUGUAGAUGAUCUGAGCGAGGGUUGUCUUUCCAAUCCCGCCCAUGCCUACCAUGGAAAUGACAGAUACUCUAUCGCAUUUGGUUGCUUCAUCUGACAGCAUCAAUUCAAUGAUCUUCUCCUUAUCAGCAUCCCUACCAUGAAUACGAGACUCAUCUACUAAAGAAGUAGUCUGUAACCUUUCUUCAAUUCCAAACGACACCCCUCGAACACCCUCCUUUAGAUGAAGGUCAACUCUCCGUUUGGCAAUUGCAUCUAACUCCCUUGUGAUUUUGUUUAUUUUUUCACCCAUCUUUUUGUUAAAGGACAUAACUCUAGGAUCCAAAGCACCACA